UCAUAGAUUGGCAUUCCAUGGGCUUUGUUAAAUGGAACUCCUCCUUCAAGAACGGCAUCUUUCAAGUGAUACAAGGACUACA